CAUCCGUCCAAAUCCUGGUUUCCGUGUCCAACGUUUGACCGUCCGUCUUAUUUAAGAAAAUUAUGAAAAAAAUAAAAAGAUAAGUCACACAUAAAAUAUUAAUCAUGUUUUAUCAUCUAACAAUAAUGAAAAUACGAAUUAUAAAAAAAUUUCAUAUAAGACGGACAGUCAAAGUUGGAACUUGUU
rnacentral:pre_miRNA from 1 species